AAAUAAGAAGCAAAAAUUGCAUUUAAUUUCGACUUAAAACUUAGAGUAAAAUACUCCUUAUUUA
rnacentral:tRNA from 2 species